GAUGAACGCUGGCGGUGUGCCUAAUACAUGCAAGUCGAGCGAACGGACGAGAAGCUUUCUUCUCUGAUGUUAGCGGCCGACGGGUGAGUAACACGUGGAUAACCUACCUAUAAGACUGGGAUAACUUCGGGAAACCGGAGCUAAUACCGGAUAAUAUUUUGAACCGCAUGGUUCAAAAGUGAAAGACGGUCUUGCUGUCACUUAUAGAUGGAUCCGCGCUGCAUUAGCUAGUUGGUAAGGUAACGGCUUACCAAGGCAACGAUGCAUAGCCGACCUGAGAGGGUGAUCGGCCACACUGGAACUGAGAAACGGUCCAGACUCCUACGGAAGGCAGCAGUAGGAAAUCUUCCGCAAUGGGCGAAAGCCUGACGGAGCAACGCCGCGUGGGUGAUGAAGGUCUUCGGAUCGUAAAACUCUGUUAUUAGGGAAAAACAUAUGUGUAAGUAACUGUGCACAUCUUGACGGUACCAAAGCAGAAAGCCACGGCUAACUACGU
rnacentral:rRNA from 1 species